GUAUUUUGACCGUGCAAAGGUAGCGCAAUCACUUGUCUUUUAAAUGAAGACCUGUAUGAAUGGUGGAACGAGGGCUUAACUGUCUCCCCCUUCUAGUCAAUGAAAUUGAUCUACCCGUGCAGAAGCGGGUAUAACAAUACAAGACGAGAAGACCCUUUGGAGCUUAAGAUAAAAAACCAACUAUGUCAAAAGUCCUAAAAAAGACUAAACCAAAUAGUACUGGUCCUAAUCUUCGGUUGGGGCGACCACGGGAGAAAACAAAGCUCCCAUGCGGAUUGGGGUAAUUCCCUAAAACUAAGAGAGACAUCUCUAAGACGCAGAACAUCUGACCAUAAAGAUCCGGCUACAUGCCGACCAACGGACCAAGUUACCCUAGGGAUAACAGCGCAAUCCCCUUCCAGAGUCCAUAUCGACAAGGGGGUUUACGACCUCGAUGUUGGAUCAGGACAUCCU
rnacentral:rRNA from 1 species